UGGGGAAUAUUGGGCAAUGGACGCAAGUCUGACCCAGCAACGCCGCGUGAAGGAAGAAGGCUUUCGGGUUGUAAACUUCUUUGACAGGGGAAGAGCAGAAGACGGUACCCUGAAAACAAGCCACGGCUAACUACGUGCCAGCAGCCGCGGUAAUACGUAGGUGGCAAGCGUUGUCCGGAUUUACUGGGUGUAAAGGGCGUGCAGCCGGGCCGACAAGUCAGAUGUGAAAUCCCGAGGCUUAACCUCGGAACUGCAUUUGAAACUGUUGGUCUUGAGUAUCGGAGAGGUCAUCGGAAUUCCUUGUGUAGCGGUGAAAUGCGUAGAUAUAAGGAAGAACACCAGUGGCGAAGGCGGAUGACUGGACGACAACUGACGGUGAGGCGCGAAAGCGUGGGGAGCGAACA
rnacentral:rRNA from 1 species